rnacentral:rRNA from 1 species
GACGAACGCUGGCGGCGUGCCUAAUACAUGCAAGUCGAACGCAGUGGGGACGGGUGAGUAACACGUGGGUAACCUCCCAUCAGAGGGGAUAACACUUGGAAACAGGUGCUAAACCGAUACUGAUGGAUGAACCCGCGGUGCAUUAGCCAGUUGGUGAGGUAACGGCUCACAAAGGCCACGAUGCAUAGCCGGCCGGAGAGGGUGAUCGGCCAAACUGGGACUGAGACACGGCCCAGACGCCUACGGGAGGCAGCAGUGGGGAAUAUUGCACAAUGGGCGCAAGCCGGAUGCAGCCAUGCCGCGUGUGUGAAGAAGGCCUUCGGGUUGUAAAGUACUUUCAGCGGGGAGGCGUUACUCGCAGAAGAAGCACCGGCUAACGCCGUGCCAGCAGCCGCGGUAAUUC